GAUUAGUGGCGAACGGGUGAGUAAUACGUGAGUAACCUGCCCUUGACUCUGGGAUAAGCCUGGGAAACCGGGUCUAAUACUGGAUACUACUUCCUGCCGCAUGGUGGGUGGUGGAAAGGGUUUUACUGGUUUUGGAUGGGCUCACGGCCUAUCAGCUUGUUGGUGGGGUAAUGGCUUUCCUUUGCGACGACGGGUAGCCGGCCUGAGAGGGUGACCGGCCACACUGGGACUGAGACACGGCCCAGACUCCUACGGGAGGCAGCAGGGGGGAAUAUUGCACAAUGGGCGGAAGCCUGAUGCAGCGACCCCGCGUGAGGGAUGACGGCCUUCGGGUUGUAAACCUCUUUCAGUAGGGAAGAUGCGAGUGUGACGGUACCUGCAUAAGAAGCGCCGGCUAACUACGUGCCAGCAGCCGCGGUAAUACGUAGGGCGCAAGCGUUGUCCUGAAUUAUUGGGCGUAAAGAGCUCGUAGGCGGUUCUGUCGCGUCUGCUGUGAAAGCUCGGGGCUCAACCCCGGGUCUGCAGUGGGGUACGGGCAGACUAGAGUGCAUAGGGAGACUGGAAUUUCCUUGGUGGAGCGUUGUAAUGCGCAGAUUUCAUGAGUAACAUCUAUUGGUGUAAGUUUGUCUUCUGGUCUGUUAUCUGAAAUAAUCAGGGAGAACCACAGAUGCGAAGGCAGUAUCUCUGGGCCUGUACUGACGCUGAGGAGCGAAAGCAUGGGGAGCGAACAGGAUUAGAUACCCUGGUGGUACAUGCGGUAAACGUUGGGCACUAGGUGUGGGGGGCAUUCCACGUUCUCCGCGCAGUAGCUAACGCAUUAAGUGCCCCUCCUGGGGAGUACGGCCGCAAGGCUAAAACUCAAAAGGAAUUGACGGGGGCCCGCACAAGCGGCGGAGCAUGCGGAUUAAUUCGAUGCAACGCGAAGAACCUUACCAAGGCUUGACAUUUCACCGGAUCGCUCCAGAGAUGGGGUUUCCCUUCGGGGUCGGUGGACAGGUGGUGCAUGGUUGUCGUCAGCUCGUGUCGUGAGAUGUUGGGUUAAGUCCCGCAACGAGCGCAACCCUCGUUCCAUGUUGCCAGCGGGUUAUGCCGGGGACUCAUGGGAGACUGCCGGGGUCAACUCGGAGGAAGGUGGGGAUGACGUCAAAUCAUCAUGCCCCUUAUGUCUUGGGCUUCACGCAUGCUACAAUGGCCGGUACAAAGGGUUGCGAUACUGUGAGGUGGAGCUAAUCCCAAAAAGCCGGUCUCAGUUCGGAUUGAGGUCUGCAACUCGACCUCAUGAAGUCGGAGUCGCUAGUAAUCGCAGAUCAGCAACGCUGCGGUGAAUACGUUCCCGGGCCUUGUACACACCGCCCGUCAAGUCACGAAAGUUGGUAACACC
rnacentral:rRNA from 1 species